AAUCUUACCUGGCAGGGGAGACACUAUGGUCAGGAAUGUGGUUUUCCCAGGGUGAGCCUCACCAAGUGGACUCCUGAUGUGCUGACUCCUGCGAUUUUCCCCAAAUGUGGGAAAAUCACAAUUUGUGGUAGUGGUGCCUGUGUUCGCGCUUUCCCCUG